UUCCGUAUGUGAACUGCGGAAGGAUCAUUGCCGGU
rnacentral:rRNA from 1 species